ensembl:lncRNA
CCCCGGGAGCCGGCCGGGUCCACGCGCGGGGCCCGCGUUCGCGCUCAUCCUAUCCGGAGCUCGGGGGGAAAGCGGGUUGUCUCCCCGCCUGGCGCCUGCGACCUCGGAAGCCCGCCGCAGCCCAGGGGCCUGCCGCGGGGCUGGGCAGCCGAGGCCCGCGCUCCCGAGCCGCCCGGGGCAUUGGAUACGGCAGGGCUCCCAGGGUUCUGCUACGCAGCUUUGCACCCUGAACCCGAAGUCGGUUCAGACCCACUAAUGCUCGUAAAAUGGGAACGAACAUCCGACCCCAGCUCCCCGGGCGUGGGGCAGGCUGCGCCACAAUUAGAGACACCCAGAUCCCAGGGUGGUCCCAACCACAUCCGGCUGCGCCCUUGAAGCCGAGACGCGCGUAGGAGGCCUCCCUUAGUGGCUGGGAAGUGACAAGAAAAUUAAACGCAACAGGGGAAACGAGCUUAACGUGCACCCGCGGCAUCAGGGCUCGGCAACAUGGCCCACAGUCCCGAGGAGACUAGCCUGAUGUUGGGGUUUGGGGCCAGGGCUUUCCGAAGGAGACUGAGCAGACCUCGGCCAACGGUCUCCGGGGGGCAAGCUUUCUGGGAGCGUGGCUGGUUUGCCCUUCGUAGGCCCGGAAACCACGGUGCCCGGAAAGGCCAAGCCAGGCCCGGAAGGAUCCUUGACGGAAUGGGGUGGGCAAAAAGUGGCUCCUGCCAGCUGGAUGCCAGCUCCCGAGGCGAGGGGAAGGAGGAAGGUGGAAAAUGGAGAGAACCUGGCGGAAACACGCUCUUCGAGACCACCCGCAACACCUGGACCACCCAGGGCGAGGCCUGGAACUGCGAAGCCUCGAGGCCUGCUUGGCCAAGCGGCUUGAAAGGCCGGAGAGGGGACUGCCUUCUUCCGGAAGGCCGACCUUCCAGAGGGGUAUCACCAACUGGGGAUUCUCCGUAGCGGCUGGCAGCCCCGCAGUCGGAGUCCACACCCGCGCCACCCCCUUAGAUGCUCAGCCUGCGCUCCACUUCGAAAUACGGAUCAUAUGCGGGGCUGAAGGAAGGGUAGGGAAGCGGCGCGGGCAUGAGCGAUUAAUUAAAGGGAAACCACAUCCGACAAAAGAGUUUUGUGAAAGGAGCCGAGUCGGAGAGGAGCUUCUGACCCUGCAGCUGUGGCCCAGACGGAUCCGCCUGCGACUGGGCCCUCCAGCAGAGGACACGGCGCAGGGGCCUGCUGGCCCAGCAAAAGGGACCCGCCUGGCUUGCAAAAACCAUGUGCUUUAAAUAAAGCUCAAGGUUAAAAGUUGCUGGGUUGGCCUGGGUCCCGGGGAGGUGGCUCGGUGAUCUCUGAGGCCGCAGCCACCUGGAUCCCCUACUAUAGUCUUGGAGACAGCACUGCCAAUAGAGGCCCUGCAGGCUUCUACAUUCAUUCACCAGGCCAAGCAAAGCCAGCCUGCAUUCACCAGGCAGGACUAUGCUGGAGACAGAGAUUUAAGAUGGAAAGCUGCUUCAUCAGGCUGCCCUAAAGAGAAGGCUUUGGUUUGAGAACUUUGGCCAAGAGAUGAAAUUAUGAUACCAAGAAGAAGAAGAAGAACAUAAACAAAAAGUAGAUUCUGAGGAAAAUGAGAACUUCCAUCGAAUCUAUACUUCUCGGAAUUACACUUCCGCUAAAGCUGCCUGGUGGGCCUGUUCCCUUGGUGGGCUCAAAAUAGACGAGACAAACCGGGAAAAAAAAGGUGUGAAAAUGACGUCAGAAUCUGAAGCGGUGCCCCACAAACGUCAGUUUGGUCAGUUUGGCGUUGGGGAGUUCCUCCACAGUUCACGCCUGCCGGGCCGCACCCCACACAGCUUGGAAACCAAAGGGCGUGAAGCAGGAGGAAGGCCGGUCCUCGCCAGCGGCGGCCGCAGGGGCCAGGCAGGCGGGCUGCCCGGGGAGGUGCGGGUCUGAGCUUGGACCGGGCAGGGGUUGGGAGGGUGAGUUAAAUAAAUACCACAAUUCGGAAUCCAGAGUUGCUAGUGCCCUUCUCAGGGAUUUGGAAGGGAUCUGCAAGUGACGUUUAAGCCUCCUAAAUUUGAUGAUAAAUUCGCUUUGGAGUUUAAAAAAUAUAUUUACCCCCCAAGUAAGUCCCCAAUGGGGAGGCCACCAGACCGUUCCGACCAGUGUGGACGCCGGCCGGUUCUACGAGGCGUGGGGUCCGCGUGGACUCGGCUUGGGAAGUGAGGGGUUUCGGCGUAAUUUACGAAUAUCCCUAGGAGUUUGGGAGACUUAAAGGAGCUCCCCGUGGAAGGUCGGAGCGGGGAGACCCGAGCGUGGAGCUCCUCUCCAGUGUAGAGCCCCCGAGGCUUCGACGAGCCCCCCUCCACUCCUGUUCUGACCCCGCGACCCGGGAGAGCAGGGCGACCAGGGCCUUGCGGGUCGCCCCGAAGGCUGCCGCGCACCCCGGGUCUCCCAGCGUGGCUCGCGACUCGGUGCGAUUGCCGCGCGAAUCCCCGGGAGAGGGGCGCCACGCAGGUCCAGGGAGCCCGCGAGUCUGGUCAGCUCCCGCCGGGAAGGCUCCGGAAACCACGGGCUCAAGACC